AUGACAAGUGCCCAGGUUGCUGUUAUUAUGCACCGAAGCCUAUGCCAAAAGCUCCUAAUAUUAUUGUUGUUCCGAACAAAGGAUUCAUGGUUGUCGCUGUCAGGAUUCCCUACCUGCAUUCAUCCCGACGCGCCGCCUGAGAAGCCUACUCUGGCUGCCUGCACUCAUGCCUUUGCCCCUCUGUGCCUUGCCCCUGUUAUUUACUUCAAAACCCUAGCUUUGAGUCACUUCUCCAACCGUUCGAGAUGUCGUCUGACCACCCCUAGAUCACAUUUGUGCCUGUUGUUCGCCAUCACAAUGGUUGUCUCUGUGGUUUGUCUGUGGACACUUGGUGCUAGGCCCACAUUUGAUGUGGGCACCUUUGAGCUCGGCUCCGGAGUGCCUAGCUCGAAGGAGUGGGAGGGGCAACCCCAUGACUAUGGUGGAGGUCAAAGAGCCAGAACAGCCUGCAGCGAAGGAGGCGAUGGUUGUUGA
rnacentral:rRNA from 1 species